rnacentral:lncRNA from 1 species
UGCCUGCUGGGUGUGGCCUUUCUGUCUCCAUUUGUCGACCGUCAUUCAUAAAUUAGUUGUCAUAAGACUCAUUCGUAGGCUUUGGUUGAUUUGGACCCCCUGACUUCCCUUAAUUUUGUUGGGUAAAACAAAUCAACCAAACAUUGGGACACAAAUUGCUUGUUUGUCUUUUUUAACUCUUGUCGGUCGUAUUGUAAAUUCCAUCGAAU